rnacentral:sRNA from 1 species
GAACCUCCGGGGGCAAGAGGUUCGACCCGAGCGAAGCGAGAAAACGUUGCGUCAGCAACGGCCCGCAGGGCGAGUCAUCCUCUAUCACCGGCAG